UUUAUCAGUAGAUUGUAAAUUAUUAGAAGUGUUAUAUCCUUUAGUAGUGUUUGUACUCUAGGCGCCAGUUAGCAUGUAACAGCAUGUGAAUGAAUGAACUGGCCACACUAGCAUGGUGCAUUUAUACCUGACGAUCUCUUUCAAGACAUUUGAAUAAAAAACGGACAUCAUGGUUAGUAUUUAUAGGGUCUGUACAUGUGGUCCCUAGCCUGGUUUGUCUGAGAAUUAAGUAGAAAUAUCCUUUAGAAGUGUUUGUACUUUAGGCGCUAGUUAGCAUGUAACAGCAUCUGAAUGAAUGAACUGACCACUACUGUAUGGUGCAUUUAUACCUGACGAUCUCUUUCAAGUCAUUUAAAUAAAACAUGGAUAUCAUGGUUAGUAUUUGUAGAGUCUGUAAAUGUGGUCCCUUGCUUGGUUUGUCUGAAAAUUAAGUGGAAAUAUCCUUUAGAAGUGUUUGUACUUUAGGCGCUAGUUAGCAUGUGCCAGGUGUCAUACCACUGCAGUAAUCAUCUCACUAAACACGUCUUUUCAUAUCCAAUCUGUUCAACAGAGUUUACCAGUCAGACCACUACACCUUUGCCAGCACCACCACCCAGCAAGCUUCAUCAACUCCAGCCAUGCCGAUUUUUACAGACUUGUUCUGCAGCACUUCCGAACAAUUGAGGAGGAGCUGGGGUAAAGCAGCAGGUGGCUGUGAACACAUCUAUGCUGCAGAAGCUAGGUGGUGGUGGUGUGGCGGAUCUUGGCCUCGUGGAGGACAACAACAGGCCAUUGAGUAAUGUUGAGGACCUGGACGAGUUGGAGAGGCGGCUUGCAUCCGAUGCGGACCUGAAAAAUCAACUGGUGAACAUACUUGGGAGGGAAAACCACCGAGAUGCUGUUAAGAGGAUGCUGGGCCGGGCUUUGAGGAGGUCCCUGGCGCUCCAAAUUAAUUAGACUGUUGCAGCAGGAAAGGUG